GUGCACGCCGGCGGUAGGCCUAACACCUGCAAGUCGCACGGCAGCACAGUAAGAGCUUGCUCUUACGGGUGGCGAGUGGCGGACGGGUGAGGAAUACAUCGGAAUCUACUUUUUCGUGGGGGAUAACGUAGGGAAACUUACGCUAAUACCGCAUACGACCUACGGGUGAAAGCAGGGGAUCUUCGGACCUUGCGCGAUUGAAUGAGCCGAUGUCGGAUUAGCUAGUUGGCGGGGUAAAGGCCCACCAAGGCGACGAUCCGUAGCUGGUCUGAGAGGAUGAUCAGCCACACUGGAACUGAGACACGGUCCAGACUCCUACGGGAGGCAGCAGUGGGGAAUAUUGGACAAUGGGCGCAAGCCUGAUCCAGCCAUACCGCGUGGGUGAAGAAGACCUUCGGGUUGUAAAGCCCUUUUGUUGGGAAAGAAAAGCAGCAGGUUAAUACCCCGCUGUUCUGACGGUACCCAAAGAAUAAGCACCGGCUAACUUCGUG
rnacentral:rRNA from 1 species